rnacentral:rRNA from 1 species
UACAGAGGUCUCAAGCGUUUGUUCGGAUUCAUUGGGCGUAAAGGGUGCGUAGGUGGCGCCGUAAGUCAGGUGUGAAAUUUCGGAGCUUAACUCCGAAACUGCAUUUGAUACUGCGGUGCUCGAGGACUGGAGAGGAGACUGGAAUUUACGGUGUAGCAGUGAAAUGCGUAGAUAUCGUAAGGAAGACCAGUGGCGAAGGCGGGUCUCUGGGACAGUUCCU